rnacentral:rRNA from 1 species
CCUACGAGAGGCAGCAGUGAGGAAUAUUGGUCAAUGGACGGAAGUCUGAACCAGCCAUGCCGCGUGCAGGAAGACGGCUCUAUGAGUUGUAAACUGCUUUUGUACAAGGGUAAACCUGAAUACGUGUAUUCAGCUGAAAGUACUGUACGAAUAAGGAUCGACUAACUCCGUGCCAGCAGCCGCGGUAAUACGGAGGAUCCAAGCGUUAUCCGGAUUUAUUGGGUUUAAAGGGUGCGUAGGCGGAUUGAUAAGUUAGAGGUGAAAUGUCCGAGCUUAACUCGGGAACUGCCUCUAAAACUGUUGAUCUAGAGAGUAGAUGCGGUAGGCGGAAUGUAUGGUGUAGCGGUGAAAUGCUUAGAGAUCAUACAGAACACCGAUUGCGAAGGCAGCUUACCAAUCUAUAUCUGACGUUGAGGCACGAAAGCGUGGGGAGUAAACAGGAUUAGAUACCCGGGUAGUC